rnacentral:lncRNA from 1 species
GAGAGUGAAUUCUGUAACCGCCACAUUUGAGCAAAUUUAUCAAAAUCAUGAAGUCCAUCAUGUGUUGAAACCAGUUCUGAUAAUGCAAUUACUGGAGAUCCUCUUUCCUUUUACAGCAUGAUGGUAAAAAUCUGGCUGUAUGAGGCUACUCUGAAGUUGAGCCUUGCCUUGGCAAGAGUAGGGAACAACCAGCUGAAACACAAUUGUAACCUUUUUUUAAAAAAAAAAAAAAACCUAAACAAAUAUAAUAAAUGGUGGGGUGAGAUUUGGACCAUCAGUGGACACAGGAAAUGGUUUGGGCAAGCUAGAGAAAUGGUGUUUAAUUAAGGGAAAGAAAGAGGAAGCAAUGCUUUAGCCCAGAGUGACCUCCAGAUGUUACUGAACUACAACUCCCAUCAGCCCAGCCAGCAUCACCAGUGGUUAGGGAUCAUGGGAAUUGGAGUCCCUUAUCAGCUGGGCGGCAUCACAUUGGCUAUUCCUGCUUUUCGUUUAGGAGUCGAAGGCAAUGUGAGAGUGGAUUAAAAACAAAACAAAACAUGAAAACUGUAGCUUUUCCAUUGACUUUCAUGGCUUGUGGACUGUGCCCACACUGUGAGUCAAAAGCUAGGCAAAUAUGUUAAGAUAAGAACAUACUGAACUGUUUCCUAAUAGCAAGAUCAUUUAGACAAUGAGUCCAAAAUCCUUGUGUGCAAUGGUUUGAGGCUUGAUAGCUAUUGGAAAAUGCAUUCCUAGGGAGGGUGACCCAUGUGUUCUUGUAAGCAGCUUUGCACAUGUUUGGCAGUUUUUACUUGAUUGGAUGAAAAACACUGUAACUGGGUAGGCAGUUGGUUUGCACAAUGGCCAGCAUGUGAAGCAAACUCUAUGGAGCUGUGUUUUCAAGUUACCACCGUACAGCAAAAAUCACAUAGAGGAGUCAGGCACACAAAUAGGAGGCUGGGUAGGAUGUUCACUGAGACAUAAAUCACCCAGAACCUGGGAAGAUGCAGUUAUUUUUCCACAUGGAUUGAUGGAAGAAAAAUUGGAAUAGCAUCAGAUUCCUCAAAGUUUUGUUAUAAGUCCCUGUCAAAUUCUGAGUUAUAAUAAUAUGUAUUUCACAAAGUUUCUCCAGACAUAUGAUUACCUGUUAGGUGUGGUACACAAAGCACGCUGGGUACUUGUAAUAAAACCUUAUUCUGGGGAAUAACUGCUUUUCCCUUCUCUGGUGGUGGGAGGAGAGUCCAGUGGGACAUAAUGGAAUAUUCUUCUCAUGUUCCAAAUUGAUAUAUAACGAUGCACUAUGGAAAAGUUGGGAUUGGUUGAGCAUAUGCGAUAAAUAAUAUAAUAUGUAUAAAAACUUAUUUGAUAAACUUGGUUUCAUCUUUUAGUUAUGUAUGGUGAUAAGCGAGAGGCCUCUUCAUCCUGCCAGUUACACAGCUCCCCUUUCUGUACUGCUGUUACCAGCAAUUUUAUCAGCAGUCGCCUUUAAUACCUUAUUCAUGUGCUUUGGGGUGAAAAGUUAAUGUAGCUAUAUAUUAUUCAUCCAAGAGAAAGGACAUUUUUUCAAUACAAGUUGCCUCAUUUCUCUUGGAAAGGGGCAGUGCUGUGAGCCAGAAGAGCAGUGUAAAGCUCUGUUGGAUGUGUGUCAAUGAAUUAGGCUUUAUAGAUCCAUGCUUGAUGUUGUUUUAAUAUUUGCGGAAAGUUUGGGUGUCUAAUAAUCUACCUAUUGCAACAAAUUUACUUUUGAACCUUUCCUGUCUUUCUUGUGUAUCUCAGGUUGACCUGCUGUCACCCUUUUUAGCCACUAUAAAAAAGUGCUUUUGUUUCUCCUUCUCUUUCUUAUUUGGUUUAUCCAGAUGAAGUAAUAGAUAAAGUCAUCUUGCAUAUGCAUGCACUGAUGCUUUAUUUAAUCCAGUGUUUCCCAAACUUGUUUUUGGACUACAAGUCUCAUUACCCCUAGUCAGGAACAAUGGGCAUUCUGGUCUGAAAACAGCUGGAGACCCAAGUUUGGGAAGCACUGAUUUAAUCCAACACAUUUGUGGUCCCAAGUGCUUCUGUGCCAGCACUGAGAAGUUUCCUUGUCUGAUGGCAGCUCUUUAUGAAACCUCAUAAGCCACUCACAAGAGCUAUUGCAACUACUUGGGCAGUUUUUCAGGUAACUUUGUGGGUAGGAAAAGUGCGCUGAAACACCCAGGCUCAGAACCAGAGCCUGGUGUCCCAAAGUGCAUGUUGCUUCUGCUGCCUCUCACCUCUUCUCCUGCAAUGCUGUAUUGUAUAUAGGUUCCUGAAUCUUCUCUUCAGCCUGAGCCAAGUGGUUCGGCUACCUCAGCAAGUCUUCAGCUGCCACCAAGCCACCCCAUCUUCCUCUCAGGCCUUCUUUCUUCUCCCUAAAUCCUUUUGCUCUGUGGUCUUCUUCUGAUUGUCCAUCACGAACACUAAGCACCAGCCAACAUGGACGGACUCUGACUGGCUAGUACCCAGCCAUUCUGGCCCCCAGGUGACUGUUAAACCAACUCCCAUCUAGCUAGACAGAAAGCUUCCCCCUUCCAACACAUUACACUGUACAUGACACUACAACUGACAGAAUAUAUUACACAAUACCCAUUGAAACACAGCUUAAACAAACAGGAUUGAUUCACGUUAUAAAAAUAAUUAAUGAUCAGUCGUAUGGCUCUCUAGCACCUUUUGUGAAUUCCCAGAUUUUGAGAAUUCAUAUGGAAAGGUGAUCAUAGAGGGACUGAAGCUGAGCAGGACAGGAACCCUAAGUUCCCUAGCCCUCCUUUCUCAGCUGACUUCACCCCAUCUUUCUUUCUUUCCAUCCCUGCUCUCAGCCCCUUGGCAAGACAUUUCCUCUGUCCCCUGGCUCACCUUCAUCCUUACUUCAGAUUUCUGCAUCCUUCCUGUCCUCCCUUCAGUCGGGCUCAGCUCUAGCCUGCUCCAGCGGCUGUGCUUGGAGAAAGUACUGCCUUUGUGACAUCACUAGCCAAUGCACCAAUCCCCACAUCUCAGAAUUCUUGUCCAUUGGUGGGGAGUGGUGUAAUGCCUGCAGAUGAUGUCACAAAGGCAUUACUUUCUCCCUAAGAUGGGGAAACCUUUCAUAUCAGUUGCCCAUGUAGUUGCUAGGAUAAAAAGCCAUUUUGAAGCAACCUUCUAGGGGCCACAUGCCAGUGGCUGGUGGAGUCAGAGGCAGAAGUAGCAAAUGCACAUUUUACCUGUGUGCAGUAGGCUAGUUUCUUCACACACUCACAAGCCGAUCUCUAUCCUCCAUCAUCCAAACAGGAAGCAUUAUCAGAGAUCAAGGGCACAUUCCAGGCAGGCAGAAGCACUCAUGGAUUGUCUAAGGCAGGGCAGGUGAGGAGUGUGGCCUGGGGAAAGGGGGUGUGGCCAGACAGAGAGAUCUGGAGGGCUACAUGUGACCCUCCAGGCCUGUGCUUCCCCAUCUCUGAAGCAGACUGAAAUGGUAAUCUGGAAAAUAAUAACAAAGACACAGCAGAUAGGGAAAACAAUGACAUCAGAUAGGAUUGGGGGGAAAGCAUUCUCACAAUGAAAGGACUGUUAUCUGAAAAAAACUGGUUUCAGCCUGAAAAUGGAAAUGGAAGAUAUCUUCAGGGCAUCUUUAGUAAUGCAUAGUUCCGGCCUCAGUUUGUCACCAGCUAUUUACACUAAGUUCCUUUAAUCCUGAAGCACUAUUUAUCUCAUCUUGGAUAGUCACUUAAAAUCUAAAGUAUUAGAUGUGAUCUUAAAUGUUUGUGGUGAUGCAGGAAGGCAUGCUUUCAGAAAGUAUACACAGUAAUAAAAUGGAAUGCACAGUUUGUGUGUUAAAACUUUACUGUCGGUAGAGCUUUUAGCCACACUAAUAAGAAAAGUGAUUUUAUUCAGAGCAAACAGAAGCUAUAAAAGGUUAACUCUCUUUUGUUGCUUUGUGUUUUGCUGUGUGAACACUAAUGUAGGUGCCUGCUGAAAUGGGCAGAUAAAUCCUGUAUUUGCUAAAAUUUAGCACUUAAUAAGCUAUCUUUAGUAAAAGUAUGAAAAAGGCUUAUGCCCCUUUCUGACAAGUUAAGAGAAAUAAACCUAAGUCAGACUCAAUAAAGAAUCCUUCUAGUCUCUCAGAUUCUGCACUGCUCCUUUUCAAAAUGGGUUAAUGUCGCUUCUGAUGUUUGUAGGUACUGAAGCCAUGUAAUACGGGCUUAGUUUUCAAAGCAAUGGAUGCAUUUGCACAGUGUGACUGUGAAGAAGAGUUCAGAAGCUCUCGCUUCCAUUUUGGAUUAAGUACAGCUUGUUGAACUCAAACAAACUGCCAUUUAUCUUAACUACUGUUUGUUGAAAUAGGCUAGCUUCAGACCAUAGCUUAUGAAAUUGGCUUGUUUCAACAAAUGUGGUUAAUCUGAAGCAGAAGUAAUCUCUUCCUUGUGGCUGUGCCAAAGGAGGGGGAGCCAGGGAGCCCAAAGUUCAUUGCAGCUCAUUCUCAUAAAGCUAAAUCAUGGUUCAGUGUUAUGAGAACACAGGAACUCUUUGCUUUUUCCUGCUAAACUAACUGAUAUGACAACAAAUGGUAAUCACUGCCAGUUGGAAGGGCAGAGUUUGCAGGUGGCCUUCAAGUGGAGGCCACUAGGUGUCAAAGAGCAUUUAUCAUGAAAAUGGGAGGUGGCCUUGAUGUCACUGAUCUCAUUGGUUUAGCUUACUGUUGUGGGCUGGUCAUUCUAUUGCUGUAGAGUUCAACCUUUUGCGUGGCGAUACCCGCCCACCCCAGAUGGAAUAAAUAAAGACAACGGACACCAAAAUUUAGGUUAAUGGGCGUAAAAUGGCCACAACUUUAUUGAUUACAGGUAAGAGCGGUAUUGGCCUUAGGCACUGGCCCUAACAGACUAUCCGGUCUAACCGGGAAGGGUUAAGCACCGACAGGGGGAGCCCCCGAGAUGCACAUCCCUAGGUGCUCCCCGAGGGGUUACCGCUCGGGGGCGCGCUUUAGGCCCUAGCCUCCGUAGGUUUCGGACGAGGCGACGCCCCCCGGAGUCCUUUAACGAACUACCCUUCAAGAAUUGGGGAAGGUGAUGGCGAACCUCCCCCCCCCGACCUCAUUUGCAUAACAAUACCCUGGCCAAUGCCUAACCGCCAAAACCAAGGAGUUGUGACGUUUUGCUACGAGGUAGGCGAAAAAACCAAGUGGCUUCAAAAUUCAGCCAAUUAGCCAAAUGGAAAAACUCCUACCAGGCCCCUUGCGGCGACCAGCCGAAGCCCAUAGCAAAGUCCAAAUGCACACCUAAAGGGCGGGUGGGUGGGAAACUGCGGCUGGUGAAGCGGAGGAAAAGGGGCGAGCCCGGGCUGCCCUGACCUUAAGUGCCCUCCGGUGGGCCCGCCCCCAACGCCCGCCCAUUGGCUGGCGCUGCCGGACAUGAAUAAUGGGAUCUCUAAAUCUCGCGGGGCUGGCGCCAGCCCCGUGAGAAUGGGGAUGGGGGCGUGAGCCCGCAACCCCCCCCCCUUAGCUUGGGAGUGGCCUUCAGACCCAGGACCCAGCUUUUUAACCUGAAAAAAAAUGGGGCCAAGUUUAAGUUUAGCAUUCAUUCCCUUUUCAUCUUUCUCUGAAAUACUGAAAGCUUCAGCAGUGAGGUGUAAAAAUUCUGUCUUUUGCUUUUCAUAGAACAAUCAGUAAAGAAUAGCAGCUUGCAUUGCCCGGUUCUCUCCAUCACAUUUGCUGUAAUAUACAGUCAUUGACUCGCACUUACAUGCAUAAAAAGCAUGCAGUGAUAUCAAAAGCCAAUGAGAGAUCAAAAAGCAGGAGCAAGGUCACUACUCUCUAGAAAGCUCAUCCAUCUGGAAGACCAAGCACAACUCAUUCCCAUGGACAGGCCUGAAACAAGACUAGAAUGGAUCUCAACAGAUACAGGCUGUGGGCUGCAGGUUAGCCGACCCUGCCCUCAAAUCUUCUUGUGUACCAAGAGGUUUCAUGGCAGCUGAGAUGUCAAUGCGAAAAGAGCAUAUUUGAAAGCCACUGCAGGAAACACUGUUGGAGAAAAGGCAUGCGCUCGCACUUCAUCUCUGUUUCCAGUUGCUGUUGUUAAUGUCUAUCUCACUUUUUUCUAUUUAAAAACAAAGCAGCUAAUUGCAGACGUUGUCCCGCUGAUAUCACAGUAGAAAGAAUUUCUUUGUCUACUUCAUUUCUACACACGGCUUAGUCCCUGCUUGUAAACCAGUAAAAAUUUCACCCCUGAUUUGUGCCUAAUGUUUUAUAAGAACUGCAUCAUUGGAAAAACAAUCUUGUAAAUGGAAAGUUGUUCUCCCUUGUCCAAACUCUCUGAAUAUAUGUUUACAUUGAUUCCUGCCACC